rnacentral:rRNA from 1 species
CCUACGGGAGGCAGCAGUGAGGAAUAUUGGUCAAUGGACGAGAGUCUGAACCAGCCAAGUAGCGUGAAGGAUGACUGCCCUAUGGGUUGUAAACUUCUUUUAUAUGGGAAUAAAAUGUUCCACGUGUGGGAUUUUGUAUGUACCAUAUGAAUAAGGAUCGGCUAACUCCGUGCCAGCAGCCGCGGUAAUACGGAGGAUCCGAGCGUUAUCCGGAUUUAUUGGGUUUAAAGGGAGCGUAGGUGGAUUGUUAAGUCAGGUGUGAAAGUUUGCGGCUCAACCGUAAAAUUGCAGUUGAAACUGGCAGUCUUGAGUACAGUAGAGGUGGGCGGAAUUCGUGGUGUAGCGGUGAAAUGCUUAGAUAUCACGAAGAACUCCGAUUGCGAAGGCAGUUCACUGGACUGCAACUGACACUGAGGCUCGAAAGUGUGGGUAUCAAACAGGAUUAGAUACCCGUGUAGUC